GGGUUGUGAGGUUAAGCGACUAAGCGUACACGGUGGAUGCCCUGGCAGUCAGAGGCGAUGAAGGACGUGCUAAUCUGCGAUAAGCGUCGGUAAGGUGAUAUGAACCGUUAUAACCGGCGAUUUCCGAAUGGGGAAACCCAGUGUGAUUCGUCACACUAUCAUUAACUGAAUCCAUAGGUUAAUGAGGCGAACCGGGGGAACUGAAACAUCUAAGUACCCCGAGGAAAAGAAAUCAACCGAGAUUCCCCCAGUAGCGGCGAGCGAACGGGGAGCAGCCCAGAGCCUGAAUCAGUGUGUGUGUUAGUGGAAGCGUCUGGAAAGGCGCGCGAUACAGGGUGACAGCCCCGUACACAAAAAUGCACAUGCUGUGAGCUCGAUGAGUAGGGCGGGACACGUGGUAUCCUGUCUGAAUAUGGGGGGACCAUCCUCCAAGGCUAAAUACUCCUGACUGACCGAUAGUGAACCAGUACCGUGAGGGAAAGGCGAAAAGAACCCCGGCGAGGGGAGUGAAAAAGAACCUGAAACCGUGUACGUACAAGCAGUGGGAGCACGCUUCGGCGUGUGACUGCGUACCUUUUGUAUAAUGGGUCAGCGACUUAUAUUCUGUAGCAAGGUUAACCGAAUAGGGGAGCCGAAGGGAAACCGAGUCUUAACUGGGCGUUAAGUUGCAGGGUAUAGACCCGAAACCCGGUGAUCUAGCCAUGGGCAGGUUGAAGGUUGGGUAACACUAACUGGAGGACCGAACCGACUAAUGUUGAAAAAUUAGCGGAUGACUUGUGGCUGGGGGUGAAAGGCCAAUCAAACCGGGAGAUAGCUGGUUCUCCCCGAAAGCUAUUUAGGUAGCGCCUCGUGAAUUCAUCUCCGGGGGUAGAGCACUGUUUCGGCAAGGGGGUCAUCCCGACUUACCAACCCGAUGCAAACUGCGAAUACCGGAGAAUGUUAUCACGGGAGACACACGGCGGGUGCUAACGUCCGUCGUGAAGAGGGAAACAACCCAGACCGCCAGCUAAGGUCCCAAAGUCAUGGUUAAGUGGGAAACGAUGUGGGAAGGCCCAGACAGCCAGGAUGUUGGCUUAGAAGCAGCCAUCAUUUAAAGAAAGCGUAAUAGCUCACUGGUCGAGUCGGCCUGCGCGGAAGAUGUAACGGGGCUAAACCAUGCACCGAAGCUGCGGCAGCGACGCUGAUGCGUUGUUGGGUAGGGGAGCGUUCUGUAAGCCUGCGAAGGUGUGCUGUGAGGCAUGCUGGAGGUAUCAGAAGUGCGAAUGCUGACAUAAGUAACGAUAAAGCGGGUGAAAAGCCCGCUCGCCGGAAGACCAAGGGUUCCUGUCCAACGUUAAUCGGGGCAGGGUGAGUCGACCCCUAAGGCGAGGCCGAAAGGCGUAGUCGAUGGGAAACAGGUUAAUAUUCCUGUACUUGGUGUUACUGCGAAGGGGGGACGGAGAAGGCUAUGUUGGCCGGGCGACGGUUGUCCCGGUUUAAGCGUGUAGGCUGGUUUUCCAGGCAAAUCCGGAAAAUCAAGGCUGAGGCGUGAUGACGAGGCACUACGGUGCUGAAGCAACAAAUGCCCUGCUUCCAGGAAAAGCCUCUAAGCAUCAGGUAACAUCAAAUCGUACCCCAAACCGACACAGGUGGUCAGGUAGAGAAUACCAAGGCGCUUGAGAGAACUCGGGUGAAGGAACUAGGCAAAAUGGUGCCGUAACUUCGGGAGAAGGCACGCUGAUAUGUAGGUGAGGUCCCUCGCGGAUGGAGCUGAAAUCAGUCGAAGAUACCAGCUGGCUGCAACUGUUUAUUAAAAACACAGCACUGUGCAAACACGAAAGUGGACGUAUACGGUGUGACGCCUGCCCGGUGCCGGAAGGUUAAUUGAUGGGGUCAGCGCAAGCGAAGCUCUUGAUCGAAGCCCCGGUAAACGGCGGCCGUAACUAUAACGGUCCUAAGGUAGCGAAAUUCCUUGUCGGGUAAGUUCCGACCUGCACGAAUGGCGUAAUGAUGGCCAGGCUGUCUCCACCCGAGACUCAGUGAAAUUGAACUCGCUGUGAAGAUGCAGUGUACCCGCGGCAAGACGGAAAGACCCCGUGAACCUUUACUAUAGCUUGACACUGAACAUUGAGCCUUGAUGUGUAGGAUAGGUGGGAGGCUUUGAAGUGUGGACGCCAGUCUGCAUGGAGCCGACCUUGAAAUACCACCCUUUAAUGUUUGAUGUUCUAACGUUGACCCGUAAUCCGGGUUGCGGACAGUGUCUGGUGGGUAGUUUGACUGGGGCGGUCUCCUCCUAAAGAGUAACGGAGGAGCACGAAGGUUGGCUAAUCCUGGUCGGACAUCAGGAGGUUAGUGCAAUGGCAUAAGCCAGCUUGACUGCGAGCGUGACGGCGCGAGCAGGUGCGAAAGCAGGUCAUAGUGAUCCGGUGGUUCUGAAUGGAAGGGCCAUCGCUCAACGGAUAAAAGGUACUCCGGGGAUAACAGGCUGAUACCGCCCAAGAGUUCAUAUCGACGGCGGUGUUUGGCACCUCGAUGUCGGCUCAUCACAUCCUGGGGCUGAAGUAGGUCCCAAGGGUAUGGCUGUUCGCCAUUUAAAGUGGUACGCGAGCUGGGUUUAGAACGUCGUGAGACAGUUCGGUCCCUAUCUGCCGUGGGCGCUGGAGAACUGAGGGGGGCUGCUCCUAGUACGAGAGGACCGGAGUGGACGCAUCACUGGUGUUCGGGUUGUCAUGCCAAUGGCACUGCCCGGUAGCUAAAUGCGGAAGAGAUAAGUGCUGAAAGCAUCUAAGCACGAAACUUGCCCCGAGAUGAGUUCUCCCUGACCCUUUAAGGGUCCUGAAGGAACGUUGAAGACGACGACGUUGAUAGGCCGGGUGUGUAAGCGCAGCGAUGCGUUGAGCUAACCGGUACUAAUGAACCGUGAGGCUUAACCUUACAACGCCGAAG
rnacentral:rRNA from 1 species